rnacentral:lncRNA from 1 species
UGGUUUUCAAGUUCAAUGUUUUAUUAUGUAUUUUAAAAUGAAUUUAAUUCAUAAAUAGUUGGUGGAAAAAGGCUUAGGUGGGCUUGUAAUAAAUUAUGUUUUGUAUGGAAGGAAUAAUAUUGCUUUGGUAUAUGAUUUCAAUAGUUCUACUAAAUAAAUUCAAAUAUGUUUUUUGAGUAAAAAUGUCACUUAAGUUGAGAUAGAGGGGGUUCGUUCUAACAUUGAUACUAUCCUACUUGUUAAUAUUGGUGACAUAGUUAGUAUUGACAAUGUGUGCAUCCCUUUUUUAUAGUGUUUCAUUGUAUAUAUGUUUUAUUGCAUUUUAUUGUAUAUUAUCCGUUUUAAUUUAAUUUAGUUAACUUAUUUCAGUUUUAUAAUAUCUAUGUUAUUUAUAUUUAUCGAAAUUUCAAUUUUAAUAUUUAUGUUGGAUUCUUCCAUAGUUUUGAUUUCAUGGAAAUCAAAGAAACAAGUCAUCAUCUCUCAUUCAUGGUGUCGAUAUUGGGACCUUGCUUCAACUACAUGUGAUAAUAAUCUUCAACACUCUUAUCCCGUUCAUGUUCCAAUUCACUGCGAUAAAAAUUCAGCCAUACAAAUAGCUCAUAAUCCAAUAGCUGCGCACAAAACAUAUUGAAAUAUAUUGUCACCUAAUUAGCAACAAAGUUCUAAGUGGUGCCGUUCAUCUUCUACCAAUCCCUUCUGCUAAUACACACAAAGCCUCUGCAUCCUAUCACUUUUCACUCUUUACUAUCCAAGAUUGGCAUGAUUACAAUAUAUGCCAUAAAGAUAAUAAGUCUAACUGAUAUAGCUAUUUGUUGAUUAGUUAAUUAUGUUAGUUGUUGGAUUUCUGUUAUCUCUAUUAUUAGUUGUAUAAAAAUUAUCAAUUAAAUGAGAAUGAGAUAACCAAUUUGCAAUAUUGAUAAUAUAUUGUUCCAAGUGCUCGCAAAGAGUGUGGCGAAUGAGUAUGGCAAAGGUAUCUGCGACUCGGCGUACUCGGAGUAGCUGAAAAGAUUGAAAUUUUCAUAAGCAUGUAGAAGAAGCUGUGAUGGGGUGAGAUUUCUUCUGUCAAAUAUUUGAUUCCUUCUCCAACAAGUUUAAAUCAAAAUGAUGAAUUGUUCAAAAAAAUAAUAAUCAAAAUGAAAGACUUGAUUGCAAAACAUUAUAUUUUAUGGAGUUAAAAAAUUAUUUAAGAAAUUUGUAUCUAUUUUUUUGUUUUGAACUGGGGUUGUUGUUCUAACACUAGACAUAAUAUUGCACUAGAAGAAAAACACUACCAUCAAUUUUGAAAGAGAUUACCUUUUCUCUUGAAUGAUUGUCUUUUGUGAAGUUCCUUUGUAAUGCCAAUGUCCAAAGCUUCCAAUUCGUAACCUAUUAGGAAAGUGUUUCUGUACCUCUACAUUCACACUCCAAUUAGUCCUAUACUAGCUAAUAGCUAUUUUUGCAGCACUCCCUUACUUAGAAAAUUUUGGAGUUAAAAAGAAUAAUUUUAGAUCUAUACAAUGACACUGAUGAUGAAGAUAAGAACAUGAUGCAUAUUCUUUGCAAAACUUUCCUAGGCUCUUAUUCCUUUAUACACAAGUAAGUAAAAUUUACAUGGAUUAUUAUCACCUUAGAUACUGUUCAAGACACUCUUU